GGGUAGUCGUACAAGGGGGUGCCUAAAUUUGCACCCGGGAGCCCAUGACGUUUUAGCUUGCUCCUCUGAUUUAGCGGCGGACGGGUGAGUAACACGUGGGCAACCUGCCCUGCAGACUGGGAUAACUUCGGGAAACCGGAGCUAAUACCGGAUAAUCCAUUUUACUUCAUGGUGAAAUGUUGAAAGGCGCUUUCGCGCCACUGCAGGAUGGGCCCGCGGUGCAUUAGCUAGUUGGUGGGGUAACGGCCUACCAAGGCGACGAUGCAUAGCCGACCUGAGAGGGUGAUCGGCCACAUUGGGACUGAGACACGGCCCAAACUCCUACGGGAGGCAGCAGUAGGGAAUCUUCCACAAUGGACGAAAGUCUGAUGGAGCAGCGCGGCGUGAGUGAUGAAGGUUUUCGGAUCGUAAAACUCUGUUGUAAGGGAAGAACAAGUACGUUAGGAAAUGAACGUACCUUGACGGUACCUUAUUAGAAAGCCACGGCUAACUACGUGCCAGCAGCCGCGGUAAUACGUAGGUGGCAAGCGUUGUCCGGAUUUAUUGGGCGUAAAGCGCGCGCAGGUGGUUUCUUAAGUCUGAUGUGAAAUCUCGCGGCUCACCGCGAGCGGUCAUUGGAAACUGGGAACUUGAGUGCAAAAAAGGAUAGUGGAAUUCCAGUGUACCGUGAAUGCGUAAAAAUUGAAGGACACCAAUGGCCAGCG
rnacentral:rRNA from 1 species